rnacentral:tRNA from 1 species
CAAAUUAGAGCUUGGUAUAAGUUUUUUAUUUACAUUAAAAAGAUAAAUUGUAAAAUCGAUUUAAUUUGA